rnacentral:lncRNA from 1 species
AUGUUACUCAGUGUCAGGGAAGCCAGUGUCCAGGUGUAGAAACAUCUGGAGUCUUGGCUCUGCCAUUUUUAAACAGUGGGACUUGAUCAAAUAACAGGACUGUUUAUUUUUCUCCAUUGAUUUUUUUAUUCACUUUACAUCCCGAUCACAGACCCCCCCCCCCCAGUCCCACCAUUGCAAAUCCCUUCCCCCAUUGCUUCAUCCCCUUCUCCUCAGAGAAUGGGGAGACCCCUUGGGUACUAUCCCACUCUGGGGUAUCUAGUCCCAGCAGGACUAGGCACAUCCUCUCCACUGAGGCCCAAACAGGCAGUCUGGGUAGGAAAACGGGGAGCCAAUGGCAGGCAACAGAGAUGGAGACAGCCCUUGCUCUACUUCUCACACGAAGACCAAGCUGCACGUUUGCUACAAAUGUGUAGGGGUCUAGGUCCAGCUCCUGCAUGCUCCCUGAUCCACUCUCUGUGAGCCUUCAUGGUCCCUGUUUGGUUGACUCUGUAGGUCCUUCCCCUACUCUUCCACAGGCUCCCCAAGAUGUUUGGCUGUGGGUCUCUGCCUCCAUCUGCUGCUUGAUGAAUCCUCUCAGGAGACAGCUAUGCUAGGCUCCUGUCUGCAAGCAUAGCAGAGUGUCAUUAAUAGUGUCAGGGGUUAGUUCUCAAGUCGGGCAGUCAUUGUUGGCUGUUGAGGGAAUGAGUUAGUGAGUG